CAGGGACAGCUGACGAAAAGUGCUCCUUGAUAAGGAAGAAAAUGUUUGUAGAGUGCACACAUUAAAACUACAGCUAGAUGAGCCCAAGCAGAAGUUAAGGAAGAGAGGAAGAAUUUCUUAUUUAGUAAUCACGUGUAGGCUUGAGAGUUAAAAAUACGGUUCCAAAUUUGGGGUUGCUAUGAAAUUUUAGCUCGCGUUUCAAGCAAGGAUAUGGAAGACAAACCGGAAAUCUGAGAGUGUUCAGUGUGCUGGUGUAUGUUACAAGUGUGGAGAAUCAGGCCGAAUUCACAUUUCAUGUCAGAAGAACAGUACCUUGUUCAGUAAAUGGUUUGUCGUCAGAAGAUGGGAGUCCAAACAGGAUAUUUUUCACGCGAGGCCUAACUGGAGCCCUGUUCUUCUCAGGCUUGUGAUAUCGACAUGUAAUCCUGAAUGUCUGCUGUCGCCUCUGCUCCUACGUCCCUAAAAGGCUAAGCAUGGCCUGACAAGCGGUGCAUAGGUCCACACCCGAGAUCCAAACCGGCAAACCCCGGGCUGUUGAAGUGGAAUGUGUGAGCUUAACCACUGCGCUACCGGGCCAGCCCUCCAUCUGGGCUUUGUAUUCAAGAAUUUUAAAGCUGACCCACUUAAUUCCCUCCACAUGUUUCCUGGGCACUGGGAGUGUGUC
rnacentral:lncRNA from 1 species